UUUCAUCGUAAAAACAGGUUUUUGAACAAUAACUAUGGAAUAUAACUAUUUCACUUUGAAUUGUUCCCUAGUACAGGGGAUAACUGCCACAGAUAUGGUUGUGUUUUUCUAUUUUUGUCGAACCACCCAAUGAAAAAAUGCCAACUACCCCUGUAAAAGUGUGGACAGUUUUUCCCUGUACAAUCUAAUAUGGCUCUUUCACUUUUUAAGGUUGAAAUCACUUUUGAGUUUUGAGUUUCUUCUCCCCUCUUCCUUACAAGUUUAUCAUUAUUUCGUGGUAUACCAAUUAGAAACUUUGUUCUCAUUUUUUCAAUAAUAAUAUUACAUUUGAACGUUAGAGAUGAUAAAAUUCUGCUCGACCCGACCCGCAUUACCCCAACCAAAAUAGUAAAUGGGACAGAGAUGGGAGUCAUAGUCUGUUCCUCGAAUUCUUCUAUCCAUUCCAAAUAUUUUUAUUUUAUUUUCAUAUCUUUCAAUUUAUAUUAAAUCGCAUUUCAAAAAAAAAAGAUAAAAAUAUAGGUAGAUAAUUAAACGGGAUAGUAAAUGGGAAUCUGUUAAUUCUCAUCCCAGCUUGUUGUCAUCUUUACUGAAUGAAGUACCUAAUGAUCCUAGAUGGUGACCCGAUCAGCACCAAAAUGCACCAAGAACACAACAAGAA
rnacentral:lncRNA from 1 species